GGACGACACAAGGUUGUAACAAUAUUGUUAUAUCAUAUUGUUAUAUCUAUGUGAACAAGCUGGGAACAAGCAAUGCGAACACAUCCUGUUGACAAGUUGUUGGAAUAGCAUUGCUACAAGUCUGCUGCAGGUUUGUUACAACUUGUGCGUUUUUACGUGUGUCAGUGCGUCCAUCUGAGCUCGGGAAGACGACAUCUCGCCUCGUUCAAGUGGUUCCCAUGUGAAUCAAAUUUCGAAAACAUAUAAAAACAACAUUGCGAGUCAGGUCAGCUUAUAUGAACAGGCCCUUGGUUCAAGUCAUUCGCAAGCGCGCCAAUUAAAAUUUACCAUCGGAUUUUUCCUACCGAGGCUUGGCUUGCGACUUGACAACAACAACAAAUUUUCCGUCAAUUUUGGCAAGUAACAUUCCUGAAGGGAGAGACUCGGGACAUUUGCGCUUACCCAUUUCCCAAGAUACUCUCCUCUUGAAACAGACUUGAACCACGCCUACACACGUAAAAACGCACAAGUUGUAACAAACCUGCAGCGGACUUGUAGCAAUGCUGUUCCAACAACUUGUCAACAGGAUGUGUUCGCACUGCUUGUUCCCAGCUUGUUGACAACUUGCUACAAGGUUGUUGAGCUCAACAGAGUUGUUACAAGUUGUUCCAACAACUUGUUAUCGUCCUGCAAUUCAACAAUUCGUCAACAAGUUGUGAGUGACAACCUUGUAGCAACUUGAUAAAAUAACAGCAUGGUUACAACUUGUUGACAAGCUUGCUACAAGCCUGUUGCGAAUACAUCUUGUUGACAAGUUGCGAGAUUUUUACCGCGUGUGUAAUUCAGCCCUUGACGUGAUCGCAUUCAAUGGAGGGCUAUACAGCCCACGUGUACACACGAAAAAGCGCACAAGUUGUUAGAGGUCUGCAAAAACGUUGUACAAUCUGUUCUUAAGCUGUCAACAAGUCGUGUUUGCACUGCUUGUUCC